CUGGAUAAGGCAAAUGUGGUAUGUGUACACCAUGGAAUACUAUGCAGCCAUAAACAAUUUCCUGUUUUGAUGUUGGGUGUUUACAUUAGGGAAAGUACAGUGAGGGAUAUAAGGAAGCUCUGUAUUACGUUUGCAAUUUUUAUGUAGGUAUAAAAUUCGAUGAAAAUAAAAAGGUUUAAAGCAAAGUCUUAAAAAUAUAAAUCACAGCAAGUCACUCCCCUGUUCAGACUCUCUAGUGAUGUUUUAUCUCACUCAAAGUAGAUGGCAAAUUCUACACAAUGACCUAAAAGGCCUACAUUAAUUUUCCCCAUCUGUCUGUCCUCUCUAACCUCAUCUACUAGUCCUCUGUCACCACUGAACUUCAGUAAACUAGCUGCUUGCUGGUUGUUAAAUAUAGCAGGCAUAUUCCCAGUCUUUGCAUUGAUUUUUUCCCCCUCACUCUCUGGAAAGUUCCUCUUCUAGCUAGCUGCAUGGCCUGCUCCCUGUCCCCACCACUUUGUUUAAUAUUACACUCACUAGCUUCUUAGAAUCUCGUAUUCUAACAUUUUUUCCUACAGCGCUUAUCAUUGUUCAUAUUCUAAAUAGUUUACUUAUUUAAUUCUAUUAUUGUUUGUUGAUACACACUAGAGUUUAAGACACACAAAGGGAGAGACAUUUGACUGUUUUGUUCACUGAUGAAUUACCACUGAACAUAAAUGCAGAAGGCAUAAAUAGUCACAUGAAGGCUGCUUCACCUCCAAUGUCUCAUUCUAGUUUUAAGACCAGGAAGAAGGAAGUAAUAAAGGAAGAAAUAUGUUAGAAAAGCAAAACCUCUUUUCAUGCGUCAUUGGAUCACUGGCCAAAACUGUGUUACAUAGCCACCUCUAAUUGCAAUGAAGGCUAGGAACAUUACUAUUCAACAAACAAAAUUUAGUUUUUGUUGGUAAGAAAGCAAGGGGGCAAAUUACUGGAUAGCUACUGAUAAUAUCAGUAUAUCUAGACACUUGUAACAAAAGGGUUAGGUUAUAAAGACAAAGAAUGAAUACAAAAACUAUUCAGACCUACUCCGCCAAAACUAGUGUUACUUAAAAGAUAGCCAAAAACUGCCAGGAAUUUUUACUUUUGUUUUAAUAAUACUGAGGGAAAACAGCACUUUUACAGAGUUCAGAGGGAAAAAACGUAGAUCAAGGAUUUUCUACACAUGCACUUUUUGAAUGAUGUAUAAGAUGAAGGAAAAGAUAUUUUCAAGUAUUCAAGAACUCAGAAAAGAUACUCACCUUUUCUUUUUAAAUAAAAUUUUUAAAAUAUGUACUAUAACAGCUGCUUAUUAUGUAUUUUUUAAGAAAACUAUUUCUACCUCUGAUGGUUUUGUAAUAUGUCAGCCUGGCUAGGGUGAACUACAUUUCCCAGAAUUCACUUUUUUGUAUAUUUCUAGUUAGGGUGGGCUGCAAGAGACACUACUGUGGAAAACCUGGAAGGUAAAAGUGAAGCAGCAGCCAUUUUGUAGCUGACCCGUAUUGUCUCUGAUCUACUGACUCAUCUCAUUGGCAUGAAGCAGUGGCCACAUCUGAAACUACUCCAUCAUCCCCUGGAUCUUUCUUCAGCUUCUCUUACUCCUUGGCCAGAUGUUGUGGAAGAUGCAACCAUGACUAAGCAGUAGCUAUCCUCCAGAAGACAACAGUCUUACAGCAAAGAUAAAACAAGCCAACAAAUAUGCAAUGGGGAAGUAAAAAGAGAUAGCAAUGUCGCUGUUAGGGGAGAGGAUUUGGCGAUUUAUAGAAGAAGAGAGAAAUAAGGAAGAAGAAAAGAGGAGAGAAAAAGUGAAGAAAGACAAAUCCAGAUGAUCUUGGAAGCUCACUUCCUCCCAUGUGGGAGCUUAGCAAGAUACUAAUAACAGCUGAGGUGGGACAGGGACUCUUCUAAUAAGCUUACUUCGUAAAUCAGGAACAGUUACCUAAAACAGUUAGCACUGUUACAGAGUCAAGAGACCAGAGGUUCUCCGUCCUCCUAGGUAGAAAUAUGCAGAACUUUACAUACGGGGUCCCUCGGCUAGAGGCCUGUCCAUGGUGUCUGCAGGCUGGCUAUGCUCAGAUUAAGCAAGACUCUUUGUGGGAUAAGAAAAGCCACUUUGUUGGUAUUCCUAUCAAAAAUUUAAAUAACCUGAAUCUAAUCAUGAGGAAACAUCAGAUAAACCCAAAUGGAGAAACAUUCUAAAAAAGAACUGACCUUACUCUUCAAGAAUAUCAAUGGCAAGAAAAAUUCAGGAAGUGUUCCAGA
rnacentral:lncRNA from 1 species